rnacentral:rRNA from 1 species
GAGUUUGAUCCUGGCUCAGAAUCAACGCUGGCGGCGUGCCUCAGACAUGCAAGUCGAACGCGAAAGGCCCCUUCGGGGGCUGAGUAGAGUGGCGCACGGGUGAGUAACACGUAGGUAAUUUGCCUUUGGGUGGGGAAUAACUCAGGGAAACUUGAGCUAAUACCGCAUAAUGCAGCGGCUCGACAUCGAGACAGUUGUUAAAGCGGGGGAUCGUAAGACCUCGCGCCUGAAGAGAAGCCUGCGGCAGAUUAGCUAGUUGGUAGGGUAAUGGCCUACCAAGGCGACGAUCUGUAACCGGCCUGAGAGGGCGGUCGGUCACACUGACACUGACAUACGGGUCAGACUCCUACGGGAGGCAGCAGUCGGGAAUUUUGGGCAAUGGGCGAAAGCCUGACCCAGCAACGCCGCGUGAAGGAUGAAAUUUUUCGGAAUGUAAACUUCGCAAGAACGGGAAGAAUAAGUAGAAGAUAAUACCUUCUAUGAUGACGGUACCGUCUGUAAGCUCCGGCUAACUCCGUGCCAGCAGCCGCGGUAAUACGGGGGGAGCAAGCGUUGUUCGGAUUUACUGGGCGUAAAGGGCGCGUAGGCGGCCAGCACAAGUCAGUUGUGAAAUCUCCGAGCUUAACUCGGAAAGGUCAACUGAUACUGUGCGGCUAGAGUGCGGAAGGGGCAACUGGAAUUCUUGGUGUAGCGGUGAAAUGCGUAGAUAUCAAGAGGAACACCUGCGGCGAAGGCGGGUUGCUGGGCCGACACUGACGCUGAGGCGCGAAAGCUAGGGGAGCGAACGGGAUUAGAUACCCCGGUAGUCCUGGCCUUAAACGAUGAAUGCUUGGUGUCUGGGGUUAUAAAGUCCCCGGGUGCCGUCGCUAACGCUUUAAGCAUUCCGCCUGGGGAGUACGGUCGCAAGACUGAAACUCAAAGGAAUUGACGGGGACCCGCACAAGCGGUGGAGCAUGUGGUUUAAUUCGAUGCAACGCGAAGAACCUUACCUACCCUUGACAUCCUACGAAUUUCUCAGAGAUGAGGAAGUGCCGAAAGGAGCGUAGAGACAGGUGCUGCAUGGCUGUCGUCAGCUCGUGUCGUGAGAUGUUGGGUUAAGUCCCGCAACGAGCGCAACCCUCGCCUUUAGUUGCCAUCAUUCAGUUGGGCACUCUAGAGGGACCGCCGGCGACAAGCCGGAGGAAGGUGGGGAUGACGUCAAGUCCUCAUGGCCCUCAUGCCCAGGGCUACACACGUGCUACAAUGGCCGGUACAAAGCGUCGCUAACCCGCGAGGGGGAGCCAAUCGCAAAAAACCGGCCUCAGUUCAGAUUGCAGUCUGCAACUCGACUGCAUGAAGUCGGAAUCGCUAGUAAUCCCUAAUCAGCAGGUAGGGGUGAAUACGUUCCCGGGCCUUGUACACACCGCCCGUCACACCAUGGGAGUUAGUUGCUCCAGAAACGGCCGCGCUAACCGCAAGGGGGCAGGUCUUUAAGGAGUGACUGGUAACUGGGGUGAAGUCGUAACAAGGUAGCCGU